rnacentral:rRNA from 1 species
CCUACGGGGGGCAGCAGUGAGGAAUAUUGGUCAAUGGGCGAGAGCCUGAACCAGCCAAGUCGCGUGAGGGAGUACUGCCCUAUGGGUUGUAAACCUCUUUUGUCGGGGAGCAAAAGCCGGACGUGUCCGGCUGUGAGAGUACCCGAAGAAAAAGCAUCGGCUAACUCCGUGCCAGCAGCCGCGGUAAUACGGAGGAUGCGAGCGUUAUCCGGAUUUAUUGGGUUUAAAGGGUGCGCAGGCGGAUUUUUAAGUCAGCGGUCAAAUCGUGGGGCUCAACCCCAUCCAGCCGUUGAAACUGGGGAUCU